rnacentral:lncRNA from 10 species
GAGAUACAGCAAAAAUCAUGAAUGUGUUAUACAGGUACCAUUGAGUGAAAUCUGGGAAGCAGUGCUCUGAUCAAGCCACCUGCCUGCUUAAAAUUCUUCAACGACAGCCACGUUUUUCAGGAUAAAAUUCAAAUUCAUUAACAUGGCAUACAAAGCUGUCUCCAGUACUUCAAAACCCCAAUUCCCAAGUUAGCUAGCUGCACCCCUGAGUCCAAUCAUUGUAACUUCAUCAUUCAACAGUUCAGGUCAGGUAGGAGGAACACAAAAGUCUCCACACUCAAGUGCACACACACACACACACACACACACACCCACACCUGCUUAUAAUGUCCUCUCAUUCUUAGGUUAUGACCCAAUAUCAGAAAGGGGCAAAAAUAAAUUCUGUUCAAAAUGUGGCAGGAUUUGAAACAUAAUUCAUGAUAUCAGCUACAUAAAUCAUAAAAUCCCAAGUUUGUCAAUUGCAAAAUGUCCUAUUAAGCAUUAAGCUACAAAUUAGGAGUGCCAUCUUGUGGACACAUCCACCACUUCCACAUCAUGUCACCUCCUAGCCAACUCCGUGGCUGUUCUCACUGUGGAGGUCUCUGCCACAACUCCAGCAUUUUAUUGCAGAAGAAAACCCAGUCCUUGAACUGGUUUCUGCGUAGAACACACUGAAAGCCCUGGGAGAGGAAACCAGCAGACAGGAAAAGAGUAGACAUGGAAGAGCAGAUGAGUUCAUUGCUGGAAAGCUCGAAUUGUUAGUUUCGUUAAUGUGGGGUCCAAUUUGACUCUAUGGAGCCUAACUACCUAGCCUGAGCGCUCGCGGUGAGUAUGGGGUGGGAGAAUGUAAAGAGAAAGCAGGCAACAGUAGGAGUAAAACACACCAGAGGAAGGUGAUGUGGGUUUAUACUUGGGAACAACAUUACCUUGCCAUCUUAGGGCCAGAGGCAUUAAUCAUGGCUUCCCCAAUGCAUAAUUUCGAUGUUGGCAUUUCCUUCCCCAUUCCUUUCAGAAUCCUACCCUGUCAGGUAUUAUCUCUGAUGAAAUAUUCCCUGGGCCAGGCACAGUGGCUCAUGCCUGUAAUCCCAGCACUAUGGGAGGCCAAGGUGGGUGGAUCACCUGAGGUCAGGAGUUCAAGACCAGCCUGGCCAACGUGGCAAAACCCUGUCUCUACUGAAAAAAAAAUACAAAAAUUAGCCGGGCAUGGUGGCAGUUGACUGAAAUCUUAGAUACUCGGGAGGCUGAGGCAGGGAGAAUUGCUUGAACCUGGGAGGCGGAAGUUGCAGUGAGCCGAGAUCACUGCCAUUGUACUCCAGCCUAGGCGACACAGCGAGACUCUGUCUCGGGGGGGAAAAAAAAGUUCAUAUCAAUUUCUAAUAUUCUAUAAUUAUUGUUUUUGGUCACAUAUACUUUUUCCAUGUAUUGAGGUGAACAGAUUGGUCUUAUUCUGUGUUAAGUUAUAUUGAUUGAUUCAAAUUAUAAAUAAACCUUUCAUUCCUGUUAUAAACCCAA